UAAGCCAGUGCACCUGGCCUAAUUAUCUUGUUUUUCUUAAUUUUUCUUAAAUGUAUGUAUAGCUUACAUUCAUUUCAGUGUUUAAUAUUAGAAGUGUUUUGAUCUUUAGAAGUUUGGUGAUGUUUUUGUCACCAGAAAUAUAUCACAGGAAUUCUAUUCAUUUAUAUCAAUUAGCCUAUGGUAAAAUUGGUUUUGUUUCCCUUAAAGUUGCAGUUUCCAAGAAUCUAUCAGCAACUUAAGUGAGAACUUACUGUAUUCGUUAUUAUAUAUCUUCCACCUGUUAUAUAUAACAGGUGGAAAAGUUUGCAUAGCCUGAGGCUAUAGCAAAGAAAAAAAAUACAGCAACCUGACUUGGCUUUUACCCUGGGGAGGAGCUGCCUUGGCCUGGGAGAGCUCCUAGGUAGAAAGGGAGGACACACCCCUCUCUGAGGGACAGGGGCACUGGUGUGAGUGUUGCCAGGAUGUGGGCUGGGGAGGCCUCCUGGGAAGGGCAUUUGGUUGGAAGCAGAGACACCUGGCUUGCCUGAGAGGGUUGGGUGAGAUGGGAAUGAAGACUGGGAGGCUGACCAGAGCCAGCCAGCGCAUGUGGGGACCCAGGUGUGCAGACAGAGUCCACUCUGCGUGUGCACACUUAUACAUGGCUCACAGAGCUUCUCCCACUUGAGUGACCUCACCCACUCCUCACAGGAUAGCUCUCCAAGGUGGGUCUCACUGUCACCCCGCAUAAGGAGACUGAUGCUCAGAAAGGUAAGUGAUUUCCCCAGUGUAGGUCAGGGAGGGUCUGGAAUAGUGACAAAGUGGUGGGACCAGAGCCAGGGACCUGCCACUAGGAAAAGAGGGCAGUUAAGGCAAGCACGUGGAGGAGAGAGAGGAAUGGAAGAGGUGAAGUUAGGGGAGGGUGAAAGGGAGAAAGAGAAGGCAGCAUCAGAGUAGAUGGUGUGUUUUAUCCAUAAACCCAGACUUGGGGAAAAUAGAUUUUCUUCUGUAUUAUUAUUUCUGUAUAUUUUAAAUCAAGUUUUAUUUUGAACAGCAGUAUAACUCCAUAACAAAAAAAUAAGCCAAAAAGGAAAAAAAAAAAAAUUCCAUCUCUGGCAUUUGCUUCUCGUCUUUGAGCAGGUGGUCCACAGCCACUCAAAGUGUGGUCCACGGCCCGGUGCUGGUCUGCCAGAGAUUCGCCACUGUUUUUCAGCACAACAGGCCCAGAAAAUGAGAGUGAAUGUUUAGAAACUCUUACAGCAAUUGGACAUGGUUGUUUUCUGCCUGUUGAAUCUAUGAUUUAAAAGUUGGGCUUGUAUUUCAUGUAUCUGCUUUUCAUUUCAUUUUUAUUUUUUAUUUAUUUUAUUAUUUUUUUUUUGAGACCAAGUCUCGCUCUGUCACCCAGGCUAGAGUGCAGUGUCACAAUCUCUGCUCACUGCAACCUCUGCCUCCCGGGUUCAAGCGAUUCUCCUGCCUCAGCCUCCCGAGUAGCUAGGAUUACAGGGGUGUAUCACCACGCCCAGCUAAUUUUUGUAUUUUUAGUAGAGACGGGGUUUCACCAUGUUGGCCAGUCUGUUCUCGAACUCCUGACCUCAGGUGAUCUGCACCUGCACCGUCUUAGCCUCCCAAAGAGCUGGGAUUACAGGCAUGAGCCACCAAGCCUGGCCUGAUAACUUUUUAUUUUGAAAUAAUAAUAGACUCACAGGAAAUCACGAAAAAAGUACCUAAAAUCCCAUGAGCCGUUUACCCAGAUUCUUCCAAUGGUGACAUCUUAUAUAACAAUAAUACAACACCCAAACCAGGAAAUGGACAUUCAUUUUCCUAAUAGGUAAUGAUUUUGAACAUCUUUUCCUGUGUUUUCUGCAACCCACAUAUCCUCUUUGGUGGACUGUCUGUUCGUGUCUUCUAGUUCUAUUUGGAUUUUUUUUCUGUUGAGUUUUGAGAGUUCUUUAUGUAUUUUAGAUACAAGUCCUUUGAUGGAUAUGCAUUUAAUCAUUUAUUUUUACGAUAUUUUACAAAACUUUACAUUUGGGAUGGAUUGGAAAUUUUAUAAAAUCAAACUGGUCAAUCACCACUGACAGUUUGAGAAGCAAUCUUAGCAUCUUCUUGCCUUAAUGAAACAACCGCACCUGCACCAUAUUGAGUCCUGACUUUUUUCCCCAGAUAAUUUAUUAUAAAUAAUUUCUCCAACUUGCUCCAUAUCUUUAUAACCACCACUUACAAGGUUUGUAAACCUUCCAUAGAGCAGCUGUACUGAGAUUUACUCAGCCAAUUCCCAAGGUUAGACAUGACGUUAUCACCCAUUUCAGGGUCUUAGAGAAACUCUGAGUCACUCACCUUUGGUCACAAGGCUUUCUCAAACAUUUUGGAUAGAAUGUUCUUAGUUUCCAUUCUCACCAUUAUAGUUCAACUUGCUCUUUCAUUAGAAUUUAGGCAUCAAGGUCAGACCAGAUUGCUGGUUGGCCACAUUCUGUGUUCUCAUGGAAACAAAAGAUCAGCGGCACUGAAUCCAAACCACCAGAGCAACCCGGCUUUUCCAGUCCCAGAUGCUUGACGGCACGGCAACAGUGGAGUCACUAAGAAAUUUUACUUUAGUUCUAUCACAGCAAACUCCAAACCAGGGGUAGCAGUCAUCUGAAAAAUGCAGAGACUAUUUUAAAGGACAGACAAGUGCCUCAGAUAGCAUCAGAGAACAAUGCCUAAGGGCUUAUGUCUGGGAUCCUCACAGAGACUAGAAGUGUCUCCCAUCCCCAUCGCAGUCCCUGGCACUUCCUGGAUUGUCGAGCGGCUCCCUGCCUCUGCCCUUUUGUAUUCGGAGCUACAGCCUUGCCUCCCCUGUUCCCACCACCCUGACCACCCCUCAACACCAUCCCGCUGUCAGCUCCGCCGCCAACUGAGGCGACACCUGUUCAUGGAAACCCUGUGAGCCUCUUCUGUAUCCAUACACAAUAGGUAAUGUUGUUUUGCAUGUUUCAAAACAUCAGUGUUGUCCAACAGAACUCUCUGUGAUGCUGGAAAUGUUCUCUGUCUGCCGUCCAAUACAGCAGCCACAGACGGCACAUGGCUUUUGAGCACUUGAAAUGCAGCUAGUGUGACUGAAGAAUUGCAUUUUGAAUUUUAGUUGAAGUUUAAAUAGCCACGUGUAGCUAGUGGCUACCACAUUGAACAGCACAGCCUAGAUCCUUCUAAACCUUGUUUUUUUCCUUUCUUCGUUUUUGAGAUUUGUUGAUGUCGAGGCAUGCAGAUGUACGCCACUCAUUCUCCCUGCUGUGUUCCGUCGUAUCAAUAUACAGCCGCCUAUUUAUCCAUUUUCC